rnacentral:tRNA from 1 species
GUAAGUGUAGCUUAAGACUAAAGCAUUGGCUUUGUAAGCCAAAGUUGAUAUUUCUACUUACA